GGGUUGUGAGGUUAAGCGACUAAGCGUACACGGUGGAUGCCUAGGCAGUCAGAGGCGAUGAAGGGCGUGCUAAUCUGCGAUAAGCGUCGGUAAGCUGAUAUGAAGCGUUAUACCCGACGAUACCCGAAUGGGGAAACCCAGUGUGUUUCGACACACUAUCAUGACAUGAAUACAUAGUGUCAUGAGGCGAACCGGGGGAACUGAAACAUCUCAGUACCCCGAGGAAAAGAAAUCAACCGAGAUUCCCCCAGUAGCGGCGAGCGAACGGGGAGGAGCCCAGAACCUGAAUCAGUUUGUGUGUUAGUGGAAGCGUCUGGAAAGUCGCACAGUAAAGGGUGAUAGUCCCGUACACAAAAAUGCACAAGUUGUGAGUUCGAUGAGUAGGGCGGGACACGUGACAUCCUGUCUGAAUAUGGGGGGACCAUCCUCCAAGGCUAAAUACUCCUGACUGACCGAUAGUGAACCAGUACCGUGAGGGAAAGGCGAAAAGAACCCCGGCGAGGGGAGUGAAAUAGAACCUGAAACCGUGUACGUACAAGCAGUGGGAGCCUACUUGUUAGGUGACUGCGUACCUUUUGUAUAAUGGGUCAGCGACUUAUAUUCUGUAGCAAGGUUAACCGUAUAGGGGAGCCGCAGGGAAACCGAGUCUUAACUGGGCGUUAAGUUGCAGGGUAUAGACCCGAAACCCGGUGAUCUAGCCAUGGGCAGGUUGAAGGUUGGGUAACACUAACUGGAGGACCGAACCGACUAAUGUUGAAAAAUUAGCGGAUGACUUGUGGCUGGGGGUGAAAGGCCAAUCAAACCGGGAGAUAGCUGGUUCUCCCCGAAAGCUAUUUAGGUAGCGCCUCGUGAAUUCAUCUUCGGGGGUAGAGCACUGUUUCGGCUAGGGGGUCAUCCCGACUUACCAACCCGAUGCAAACUACGAAUACCGAAGAAUGUUAUCACGGGAGACACACGGCGGGUGCUAACGUUCGUCGUGAAGAGGGAAACAACCCAGACCGCCAGCUAAGGUCCCAAAGUCAUGGUUAAGUGGGAAACGAUGUGGGAAGGCAUAGACAGCCAGGAUGUUGGCUUAGAAGCAGCCAUCAUUUAAAGAAAGCGUAAUAGCUCACUGGUCGAGUCGGCCUGCGCGGAAGAUGUAACGGGGCUAAACCAUGCACCGAAGCUGCGGCAGCGACACUUAGGUGUUGUUGGGUAGGGGAGCGUUCUGUAAGCCUGCGAAGGUGGCCUGUGAGGGCUGCUGGAGGUAUCAGAAGUGCGAAUGCUGACAUAAGUAACGAUAAUGCGGGUGAAAAACCCGCACGCCGGAAGACCAAGGGUUCCUGUCCAACGUUAAUCGGGGCAGGGUGAGUCGACCCCUAAGGCGAGGCUGAAAAGCGUAGUCGAUGGGAAACAGGUUAAUAUUCCUGUACUCGGUGUUACUGCGAAGGGGGGACGGAGAAAGCUAGGUUAUCCGGGCGACGGUUGUCCCGGUUUAAGCGUGAAGGUGGAUGACUUUGGUAAAUCCGGGUCAUCAUUAACACUGAGGCGUGAUGACGAGUCACUACGGUGAUGAAGUAACCGAUGCUACGCUUCCAGGAAAAGCCUCUAAGCUCCAGGUAACAUCAAAUCGUACCCCAAACCGACACAGGUGGUCAGGUAGAGAAUACUCAGGCGCUUGAGAGAACUCGGGUGAAGGAACUAGGCAAAAUGGUGCCGUAACUUCGGGAGAAGGCACGCUGAUGGUAGGUGAAGUGACUUGCUCAUGGAGCUGAAAUCAGUCGAAGAUACCAGCUGGCUGCAACUGUUUAAUAAAAACACAGCACUGUGCAAACACGAAAGUGGACGUAUACGGUGUGACGCCUGCCCGGUGCCGGAAGGUUAAUUGAUGGGGUCAGCCGCAAGGCGAAGCUCUUGAUCGAAGCCCCGGUAAACGGCGGCCGUAACUAUAACGGUCCUAAGGUAGCGAAAUUCCUUGUCGGGUAAGUUCCGACCUGCACGAAUGGCGUAAUGAUGGCCAGGCUGUCUCCACCCGAGACUCAGUGAAAUUGAACUCGCUGUGAAGAUGCAGUGUACCCGCGGCAAGACGGAAAGACCCCGUGAACCUUUACUAUAGCUUGACACUGAACCUUGAGCCUUGAUGUGUAGGAUAGGUGGGAGGCUUUGAAGUGUGGACGCCAGUCUGCAUGGAGCCAACCUUGAAAUACCACCCUUUAAUGUUUGAUGUUCUAACGUGGACCCGUGAUCCGGGUUGCGGACAGUGUCUGGUGGGUAGUUUGACUGGGGCGGUCUCCUCCCAAAGCGUAACGGAGGAGCACGAAGGUUAGCUAAUCCUGGUCGGACAUCAGGAGGUUAGUGCAAAGGCAUAAGCUAGCUUGACUGCGAGAGUGACAGCUCGAGCAGGUGCGAAAGCAGGUCUUAGUGAUCCGGUGGUUCUGAAUGGAAGGGCCAUCGCUCAACGGAUAAAAGGUACUCCGGGGAUAACAGGCUGAUACCGCCCAAGAGUUCAUAUCGACGGCGGUGUUUGGCACCUCGAUGUCGGCUCAUCACAUCCUGGGGCUGAAGUAGGUCCCAAGGGUAUGGCUGUUCGCCAUUUAAAGUGGUACGCGAGCUGGGUUUAGAACGUCGUGAGACAGUUCGGUCCCUAUCUGCCGUGGGCGUUGGAAGAUUGAGAGGGGUUGCUCCUAGUACGAGAGGACCGGAGUGAACGCACCACUGGUGUACGGGUUGUGAUGCCAAUUGCAUUGCCCGGUAGCUAAGUGCGGAAGAGAUAACCGCUGAAAGCAUCUAAGCGGGAAACUUGCCUCGAGAUGAGUCUUCCCUGGGUACUUGAUACCCCUGAAGGGCCGUUGAAGACGACGACGUAGAUAGGCUGGGUGUGUAAGCGUAGCGAUACGUUGAGCUGACCAGUACUAAUGACCCGAGAGGCUUAACCUUACAACACCGAAGGUGUUU
rnacentral:rRNA from 1 species